CAAAGCUGCGAGGUUACGAACAGAAACGUCCUACAAGGCCGGUUCGACCAGGCGAGUGAGCACAACAUCACGAAGCCGUUCCCAGACGGUCGUUCAGGUAAAGGGCGAGCUUGCGCAGCGAAAG
rnacentral:autocatalytically_spliced_intron from 1 species